GACGAACGCUGGCGGCGUGCUUAACACAUGCAAGUCGAACGGAAAGGCCCUGCUUUUGUGGGGUGCUCGAGUGGCGAACGGGUGAGUAACACGUGAGUAACCUGCCCUUGACUUUGGGAUAACUUCAGGAAACUGGGGCUAAUACCGGAUAGGAGCUCCUGCUGCAUGGUGGGGGUUGGAAAGUUUCGGCGGGUGGGGAUGGACUCGCGGCUUAUCAGCUUGUUGGUGGGGUAGUGGCAUACCAAGGCUUUGACGGGUAGCCGGCCUGAGAGGGUGACCGGCCACAUUGGGACUGAGAUACGGCCCAGACUCCUACGGGAGGCAGCAGUGGGGAAUAUUGCACAAUGGGCGGAAGCCUGAUGCAGCAACGCCGCGUGCGGGAUGACGGCCUUCGGGUUGUAAACCGCUUUCGCCUGUGACGAAGCGGGAGUGACGGUAAUGGGUAAAGAAGCACCGGCUAACUACGUG
rnacentral:rRNA from 1 species